CAAUGCAUUGAAAGUGACU
rnacentral:snRNA from 1 species